AUAACUUCCUCCAAAUCCCACAGUCAUCGACUUAUGACUAACAUUAUCCUGGGCAUGGAAUCCAUGCUUCUAAACACUUAACACCCCAUAUUCAACUCCUUAUAUUACCAGCAUUACACCUAUAAUCACAUAACUUACAACUUAAUAAAAUUUGCUCAACUAUACCAAAGGUGCAUGUUGCCUACCUAUAUUUCCUCAAUUCAAUUCUCAAGUACACCAUACAACCACUCCCC
rnacentral:lncRNA from 1 species